GAUGAACGCUGGCGGCGUGCCUAAUACAUGCAAGUCGAGCGAACGGACGAGAAGCUUGCUUUUCUGAUGUUAGCGGCGGACGGGUGAGUAACACGUGGAUAACCUACCUAUAAGACUGGGAUAACUUCGGGAAACCGGAGCUAAUACCGGAUAAUAUUUUGAACCGCAUGGUUCAAAAGUGAAAGACGGUCUUGCUGUCACUUAUAGAUGGAUCCGCGCUGCAUUAGCUAGUUGGUAAGGUAACGGCUUACCAAGGCAACGAUGCAUAGCCGACCUGAGAGGGGGAUCGGCAACACUGGAACUGAGACACGGUCCAGACUCCGACGGGAGGCAGCAGUAGGGAAUCUUCCGCAAUGGGCGAAAGCCUGACGGAGAAACGCCGCGUGAGUGAUGAAGGGCUUCGGAUCGUAAAACUCUGUUAUUAGGGAGAACAUAUGUGUAAGUAACUGUGCACAUCUUGACGGUACCUAAUCAGGAAGCCACGGCUAACUACGUG
rnacentral:rRNA from 1 species